GAAGGGGUGACUGGUGACAGAGUGAGGGAAUGACUGGUGACAGAGUGAGAGAGGGGGUGACUAGUGACAGAGUGAGGAAGGGGGUGACAGUGAUAGUCACCCCAUUCCUCCCUCUGUCACUAAUCACCACCUCCCUCACUCUCACUAGUCACCCCUUCCCUCCCUCACUCUGUCACUAGUCACACCCUCCCUCUCUCUGUCACUAGUCACACCCUUAC